CAAGAAGUCACUCUAGCGUGUUCAUGGACUCUUUCAUGAAAGCUUGGCAAGCAGUCUGAGUUAUGGUGGUUCUCAACCUGUUGAGUGUGUAGUUCUCCUGUUGAGUAAGCAAAAGCUGGAGAGUUUCUAGUGGGUGUUUGGAUCAUUGGAAAGCAUUAUCAUAUUCUUUAUUUUACUGUAUUUUUUAAAGGACAUAAUUCCCUCUGUUGAUGGUUGAUUUUUAGAUUUAUCCUUUGUGUGAGUGUUUGGCUUGCGUGUAUGCCUGUGCAGCAUGUUUGUGCUUGGUGCCCACAGAGGUCAGAAGAGGGCAUCAGAUCUUCUGGAACUGGAGUUACAAAUGGUUUUGAGCCAGCAUGUGGGUGCUGGAAAUAGAACCUGGGUUCUCUGCAAAAACAAAUUCUGUUAACCAUUGAAACACUUCUCCAGCCCCAACAGUAUGAGUUUUGAAAUUAUGAUACUAGAUUGUGGAACCAUAAAUGCAUAGUUAGUUAUGUUUUAGUGUGACUCUAGUGAGCCAGGCUCCUGUAACUUCCCCACCAUGAUGGAUUAUAACCUUGAAUUGUAAGCCAAAAUAAACCCUGUCUCCCUUUUGUUGCUUUUUGUCAGGGUAUUUUAUCCCAGCAGCAGGAAAAGUAACUAAAGCACUUAGCAAUUCUAUUUCCAAUAAUUACAAUCCCAAGAAGUAAAGAUCUAUGACCAAAUGGUACAUGAGUAAACACAUUUAUUGUACAAGUGUGGUAUCUUAAAUGAACAUCCAGUGAGAAUGCUGAAGUAUGUAAAGUAUCGCAAGAUGAGAGAGUACAAAGCAUGCUAGUAUUAUGCUGAGAGAAACAUAGAUCAUGUUCAUGUGUACAUGCCCUGUGUAUGUGUGAAUAUCUCAUUAGCCACUAGAAUUUAGAAUUGGCCUUGUGAUUGAGUACAGGGUGGAAGGAAAGCUUGAGUUUUACUCAUGUAUUCUUCUAUUGUUCUCAUAUUACAGAUACUGUGUAUUUAAUAAUUAAAAUAAGAAAAUGGAUGGAUGACUAGGGAAGAGAGUGCUAGAGAGGAAAUGGUAAUCUAUGGGCAGAACUCAGAGCAGCAUUGAGUACAUGCAGGCCACAUAUCAGCAUCUGUAGAAUUGAUUUUUAAAGUCUAAUGAUGUGAGAUAUCACAUUGCUACUAAUAUGCUAAAGCCACUCAGUAAUUUAGCUGCUAAUCAAUUUAAAUGUGAUAGAAAAAUAUCCCCAAGAUAAAUUGUAAUUUCUAAAACUAAGGUAAUGUUAAAUUUGGUUGAAGAAGUCUCCACUUAGACCUUUUUGCAAACUGUCACAUCAGCUUUAUAUAUUUUAAAGCCUAUAAAUUGGAAUUCUGUGCUCUCUCACAGGCUCAAAUUUCAUGGGAGCUAGAGAUUCUAGGCAUGGUAAAUCAUGUGGACCUAUUAUACAUCUGAUAAAUUCUUACUGUUCUGUUACAUUCUUUCUGUAGGUACUAAUGAACCUACCAUUUUCAUUUACUAUUCAUGCUUGUUAGCACUGUAUUAAUGUCUUUGAUAAAAUUCAUUUUAGUUUUUACAGAUGACUUUCAGUUACAUGUCAUUCUUGAAAUCUUCUCUUACUUAUUCAGAUUUUUCAUUAUUUGGCUGGCAUUUUCUCUUCUGUGAACCGAAAUCAUCUCAUUUUAAAUUCACAGAAGACAGAAGUGCCGGCAGUCAGCAUUUGAAUUCUACUUACUAAUUUGUGGAGGUGUGAUUUGGGUGAUUUUUAAGUUAAAAGUAUUUCAGAUUCAUGGUUAUGCUUUUAAAACUUGAUUUUUUUUUUUACUAAAUUUGUGGUUAUAUGAAUAUCUUUAUUACUAGGAAUCUGAGUUAUUAAGCUUUAUGUAGGUUAUGUCACAAUUCUGUUGCUAUCACCCAAAUCUUUUAAAAAUUCUCUAGCCAAGAAAGCUACAUUACAAUAUUCACAUUAACAUCUAAAGUUCAAGGCAAAAUGAGCUUUAUUUUAUAUGCCAUUUUAUGAUAUAAUUUUAUAGUAUUUCAGGGCCAGUUUCCUAACAUCAUUAAACAAUCAUAGGACUACAACAGGAGAAGACUUGGUAAGUCUCAUUAAGAUGUUGAACUGCCUAGAACUAUAAGCAGUGUCCAGGCAGCUCUCAGUUUUCUUGAUUUCUGUGCAUGGAGACUGGUACUGAAUGCAAUUUGAUAGUAACUAGACUUAAAGGUUGCUUACCCCAUAGUGGCCCUUUUAAGGAAUUGCAAAUAAGAAACACACACACACACACACACACACACACACACACACACACACACACACACACACACACACACACACACACACCCCCUACCCCUGAGGAAGGCAAGCAGGAAAAUGACAGAAGUAAUACUUAAAUAUUUAAAACUGUGUCCUAAAACACAGUACAUAAUCUUUUGUAUUCUGUAUCUUUAACCUACCAAAAUCCUUUAAAAAUCCUUUAAGAUGAUUAUAGUAUAUACCAGUAGUUUGUUUCAAUUUAUGGGGUUCCUACAUUGCAGUUAUAUUUCUCAGUGUUUGUCUAUAGUCAUAAGACAGACGUCAGAGUUCUUUGCAGUUUGGAGUUAUUAGGUAACGAGCUGCCGUGAACAUUACAGAACAAGUCUUUUAAGUUUUCAUUGGUUUUUAGUCAUGUGUAUUUUAAAAAAUAAUGAAUUUCAUUGUGACAUUUUCUUUGUAAUUUUUACUACAUUUUAAUUUAUUUUGUGUGCACACACAGCACGUAUGUAGACUCAGAGGUACAACUUUUGUGAGUAUGUUCCACCUUGUGGAUCUCGAAGAGUGAAGUCAGGUCACCAUGUUGGACUCCUGUUGACUUUACCUAUUGAUCGUCUUUGCAAGUGUUACGACGUUUUCAUGUAUAAAUGGAUAGUUGUGUUGCCUCCUCUCACCACUCACCCUUUUGUACCUCCUUUCUGCACUGGUAUUUCUCCUCAAAUCAUAGCCUUCUAGGUUUGUGUCUUUUAAAUGUUGAGAGAAAACAUACAAUAUUAGAAAAUCUCCAGUUCUUUCUUGUUGGCUGAAUAAUAUUACAUUAUGUAUGUAUGCAGCAUUUUUAUUCAUCUGUCGAUGAGCAUCUAGGCUUAUUUUAUAUUUUAGACACUAUGAAUCAUUCAGCAAUAAGUAUGGAUGUAUAAAUUAUCUCUAUGGUGGUUUGGCUUAGACUCCGUUUGCUGUAUACUCCAUAGUAGAUUAACAGGGUCACUUGGUAAUUCUGCUUUUAGUUUUUUGUGUGUGUGUGAAAAACUUCUGUCCCACGGUGGCUGGUCUGAUCUACAUUCCACCAACAGUGAUCCUUUCCUUUCCCCUGCAUCCUGUUUGCUCCCUUGUUGAUGACUAUUCUUACUGGAAUCAAGAGGAAUCUAUGCAGUUUGUGUAUACAUUUCCUGUUUGGUUAAAAAAGUGCAGCAUGUUGCCAUGUAGUUAUUAGCUAUGUCUUUUCAGUUCAUUUGUCCAUUUCCUAAUUGGAUUAUUUCCCCCUUUGCUACUUAGUAUUUUGAGUUCUUCAUAAAUUCAGAUAAUUAAUCUCUGUUACAUGAAUAGUUAACAAUGAUUUUCUCCCAAUUCUACAGGCUGUCUAUUCACUUUGGUAAUUGUUUCCUUUGAUGUGCAUAAGCUGUUUAAUUUCAGUUUUUCCAGGAUUCUCAUCAUAAAGGGAUAUGAGCAACAUCUACUCAGCCAGCCACAAGAAAACCUCAACAUCAUUGAUCUCUCCCUUGGUCCAAAUUCCUCUGGAGUACUGAUUCUUCUGAAGGGUGCUU